UAAAGUAUGUGUUCGUGUGCAGAACAACAAAAUCUGAUACUCUGGAAACAUUACUACCCCUAGUAAAAUAUGUUGUAGGGUGCAGAUAAAAAAAAACUGAGGUUCUGGAAACUUUACUACCCCUAGUAAAGUAUGUCUUAGGCUGCAGAACAACAAAAUCUGAUACUUUCGAAACAUUACUAUCCCCAGUAAAAUAUGUGUUAGGUUGCAGAACAAGUAAAUCUGAGGACUUGGAAACAUUACUGCCCCCAGUACAGUUUGUUACUGAGUGCAGAACAACAAAAACUGAGGUUUUGGAGACAUUACUACCCCUAGUAAACUAUGUGUUCGUGUGCAGAACAACAAAAUCUGAUACUCUCGAAACAUUACUACCCCUAGUAAAGUAUGUGUUCGUGUGCAGAACAACAAAAUCUGAUAGUCUCGAAACUUUUCUAUUCCUAGUAAAAUAUGUGUUAGGCUGCAGAACAAGUAAAUCUGAGGACUUGGAAACAUUACUGCCCCCAAUACAUUUUAUUACUGAGUGCAGAACAAAAAAAAUAGAGGUUCUGGAAACAUUACUAUCCCUAGUAAAGUAUGUGUUGGUGUGCAGAACAACAAAAACUGAGGUUCUGGAAACUUUACUACCCCUAGUAAAGUAUGUGUUAGGCUGCAGAACAAGUAAAUCUGACGACUUGGAAACAUUACUACUCCCAGUAAAGUUUAUUACUUGGGAGGGAAGAACAGAAAACCCUUAGAACUUUAAUGCUUGGGACAGAUGAACAUAAUAAUAUUGUCAAGAGAAUUCCACAAUAAUGAACAUCACAAAAAUCUUCAAUCAAAAUCCUUACAAUAGAGAGAAAUCUGAAUGUAGUUCAAAAAACAUCCAAAAAACAACAAAUUCCAAACAUCCACUAACAACCAGAAGGAUGUACAAGAAACUACAGCAACAUGUUCAAAGGUUCCGUACAGCUCUUCUUGUUAUGAUGGCCCAUCUUAUUACAACGACCGCAUCGAAUCAGCUUCUUCUCACCAGCAGAUGCUAUCCUCUUUGAUUUAGGCCUCCCAGCCGCCCUCUUUGUAACAGGAGGUAGUGUAAAGUCCUCAGUGGAAGAACAAGAGGCAUCCACGUUACUCAGAGGUGCAAUAGGAAAGCUAUAACACAUCCUAUAGUAUUCAGCAGUAAAAUAAGGAUCAAUGAAAUCAUACACAUCAAGUCUUGCACCUUGUAUAGCAGCAAGUGCAUGAGCGCAUGGGAAGCAAUUAAUCUGCCACUUCACACAUGAACAAGUACGAGUAGAGAGGUCCACUGAAUAGGAGUACUUAUCAUUCCUAACCUCAUAAACAUUUUCAUGGGAAGCAAUCACCCUGAACACACGAGCCCUAUCAAGCUGCUCUUUCAGCCUCUUCUCCAUUUUAGGAGUAAGCUUGGUAGUCCAAGAUUUCGACUCAACACUCCUUUCUGACAUCAUCUUCAUUUCUUUCAUUCUAGUUUGAUCUAACAUAGCGAAAGGGGGCAGUGAACGCUCAGCAACAAUCUAGUUACUAAAGGAUUCAGCAAUACCAUUUGCCAUAAUCCCAUACCGACAACCUUUUUAAAAAGCACGGUACCAAUGUUCCAAUGGAAUCUCCCUUAUGAAUUCAUCAAUAGUAGCAGCACCACCCUCAUCUCUCAAAUUUUUUAAAUGAAAGUAGAAAGACUUCUCAGUCGAUGCAUAAGCCACUUUAAAGAAUUUUUGUAAC
rnacentral:lncRNA from 1 species